rnacentral:rRNA from 1 species
GAUGAACGCUAGCUACAGGCUUAACACAUGCAAGUCGAGGGGUAGCAGGGUAGCAAUACCGCUGACGACCGGCGCACGGGUGAGUAACACGUAUCCAACCUUCCCAUAACUCGGGGAUAGCCUUUCGAAAGAAAGUUUAAUACCCGAUAGUACUUAUAUAGGGCAUCCUACAUAAGUUAAAGAUUUAUUGGUUAUGGAUGGGGAUGCGUUCCAUUGGAUAGUUGGUGAGGUAACGGCUCACCAAGUCUUCGAUGGAUAGGGGUUCUGAGAGGAAGGUCCCCCACAUUGGUACUGAGACACGGACCAAACUCCUACGGGAGGCAGCAGUGAGGAAUAUUGGUCAAUGGGCGAGAGCCUGAACCAGCCAAGUAGCGUGAAGGAUGAAGGUCCUAUGGAUUGUAAACUUCUUUUAUAGCAGAAUAAAGUGAUCCACGUGUGGAUUUUUGUAUGUAUACUAUGAAUAAGGAUCGGCUAACUCCGUGCCAGCAGCCGCCGUAA